rnacentral:rRNA from 1 species
GCGUAACGCGUAUGCAACCUACCUCUUACAGUGGGAUAGCCCAGAGAAAUUUGGAUUAAUACCGCAUAGUAUACAGAUUCAGCAUUGGGACUGUAUUAAACAUUUAUGGGUAAGAGAUGGGCAUGCGUUCUAUUAGUUAGUUGGAGUGGUAACGGCACCCCCAAGACAGCGAUAGAUAGGGGCCCUGAGAGGGGGAUCCCCCACACUGGUACUGAGACACGGACCAGACUCCUACGGGAGGCAGCAGUGAGGAAUAUUGGACAAUGGGCGAGAGCCUGAUCCAGCCAUGCCGCGUGCAGGAAGACGGCCCUAUGGGUUGUAAACUGCUUUUGUACGGGAAGAAACACCCCCUCGUGAGGGGGCUUGACGGUACCGUAAGAAUAAGGAUCGGCUAACUCCGUG